CCUCCAUGGCGGUGCGGCUUAGGCCGGAGCUUGGUCGGCGGCAGAAGGAGUCCCACCGGCAACCUUGGAGGAGCCAUCAGGAUGGAGGUGCCGAUUCGUCCGGGCAGCGGCGACUGCUAGCUCGUUUUGGUGAGUUCCCUCCAUCUAUCUCUCAGAUGAUUUGAGGUUUGUGGUGCUCAGCUGCCGGCCCACCCCGAUGUGUUGCUGCUCAUCAGAUCCGGAAGGAAGGGGAGGAGCCAGGGAUGAAGAAGUAGUGGGGAAGAAGAGAGGUUUCAGGGAGGAGAAAUAGGAGUGCUGCUCGUGACUUCUAGUGCUUCAUUUAACCUGUCAGGCAAAUCUUUUUCUCAAGUUUCACAUGAAACACCAAAUUCUGCACCUGAAGCUUCGCUGCAUGGCUCUCCAACGUUUGGCUUGAGGCAAGAUUUUGCAGUUGAGAGAAAAUGGGCUCUUGGUCUUCAGCUAGAGGAUGAAUUACCUUGACCUGUAAGAGGCACUCCAUCUCAUACAAAUUACAUACAAUUUCUGAUUUGGAGCCUGAAGAAGCCCCAGCGAGGCGAGGUCGUCACUUUCGCCUAUUUAAACACACCUAGGCACCUACCAUAUGUUGGUGCUGGAGGAGAGCUUCAGGAUGUAGUAUGUAGUCAUGGGACCAUUUUGGUGAUGUCUCCACCGGCAUCUUCGGCUCUGCAUACUGAAGUAUUUGCCCUUUAGCUUUACUGUUAUUGUUACUUCACUGCUGCAUGUUUAAGACCCAAAGCUUCUCCACUGAUUGCAUAGUACUAACUAGCUAAGGACAUACUCUCUGCCCCGAGACAUCAACAAAUUAGUCCUCAGCUUACGGCAAUCUUUGCUUCAGAUUUGUUCCGGCCGACAAGCUUCUUCCAGGUAUAAAGGCCAGUGACGUUUAUGAUAUCACAUUUUCUCACAUUUGAUUUGCGACUACAGAUAUAAAGGCCGGAGUGAUUUGGGAGAUACGAAGCAAAUUGUUGUGUCCUUCAUCAACUGAAAGAUUAAGGCUUCACCUGCAUUGAAUCUAAACAUCUAGCUAUGGAUCAGCAGGCGUACAUCACAUAUUGCUUGAUGUUGGUGCUCGACAGUGUUGAUUGGUUUUCUUGACGGAUAAGGGCCUCAACUGCAUUAGAUAUCAAAUCAGGUUCCUGCGACGUACUUCUGGAAUAGCUAAGCUUGGGCGUUAUCUCUACUGGAACAAAAUGGGAAGGGCCUACAUGUCAAGGCCUUGGAUCCAACGAGGAUCUGUUGUGCUUCUAGAAUUAGAAAUUUCUUCUAAGAUAUUAUUGGUCAGCUUAUUUGGACGCAUUCUUGGCAACGACAAUGAGACAGUGCUUAAGAAUGGCACUAGAGUUAAUGAUAAGAGUUUAUUUUUU